AGUACUUCAGGAAUAAGGGACGGCUAAAUACGUGCAGCAGCGCGUAAUACGUAUGUCUCGAGCGUACCGGAAUCACUGGUGUAAAGGGUUCGUAGGCGGUUUAUUAAGUUGGAUAUGAAAGACCGGAACUCAACUCCGUGUUUGUGUUCAAAACUGGUAGACUAGAAUUAGGGAGAGGUAAGCGGAAUUCUAAGUGUAGGGGUGCAAUCCGUAGAUACUUAGAGGAACACCAAAAGCGAAGGCAGCUUACUGGAACUAUAUUGACGCUGAGGAACGAAAGCGUGGGGAGCGAAAAGGAUUAGAUACCCUUGUAGUCCACGCCCUAAACGAUGAUAACUAAGUGUUGUGUCUUCGGAUGCAGUGCUGUAGCUAACGCGUUAAGUUAUCCACCUGAGGAGUACGGUCGCAAGAUUAAAACUCAAAGGAAUAGACGGGGACCCACACAAGCAGUGGAUCACGUGGUUUAAUUCGACAAUAAACGGGGAACCUUACCCAGACUUGACAUCUACCGAAUUCUUUAGAGAUAGAGAAGUGCUUUUAUUAGAGCGGUAAGACAGGUGCUGCAUGGUUGUCGUCAGCUCGUGCCUUGAGGUGUUCGGUUAAGUCCGUUAACGAGCGCAACCCAUAUCGUUAGUUAUUAUGUCUAACGAGACUGCCUUGGUUAACAAGGAGGAAGGUGUGGAUGACGUCAAAUCAGCAUGGCUUUUACGUCUGGGGCUACACACAUGAUACAAUGGUGUAUACAAAGAGCAGCGAUAUAGUAAUAUGGAGCUAAUCUUCAAAAUACAUCUCAGUCCGGAUUGAGGUCUGCAACUCGACCUCAUGAAGUUGGAAUUGCUAGUAAUCGUGAAUCAGAUAUGUCACGGUGAAUAUGUUCCUGGGUCUUGUACUCACCGCCCGUCACGGCAUGGGAGGUAGUAAUAUCGGAAGUCCCCCUAGUAAUAUGGG
rnacentral:rRNA from 1 species